ACUUACUCCCAGGAAAGUGGUUAUUACCAGAGCUCCUCCUUUAAAUGUGUAGUCAAAAACGGUUGCAACAGGAUCUCUCAGAUUAGGCUUUAAAAAACUGAAUCACUUGACAAAGAAGAGGACAAGCCAGCAACCGGGGGAGGAGAAAAUGCUACUGCAGCUGCCGAGCCUUCUUUUACGCGCGCGCGCUACAAAUGCGUGCCAAGGUGCGCAACGACAGGGAGGGCAGGUGAGGAGACCUAAGCCGGGCAGCUUCCGGGCUGGGUUGGGGGGAGAUGCCGUUCUGACACUGAUGGAGGGGCGGGGCUUUGCACUUCUCCAGGAACAGCUUCGGAUGUCUGUAAAAUACCGAAUUAGAAGAGCAACGCGCUGCCCUUUUGGGCGUUUGAAUGAAGAGUCGCAGCGUUGCGCGCCCCCCGGCGGAGGGUCGGUUUGUUCACACCAAAGGAUGAGAUCAUCAAAUCAAAAUAGCAGGACUACGUUAACGGUUUUAUGGUGCAAUGAAUUAAAAGGGAGGGAUUUUUUCUUUUCUUGGUGACAAGGGAAUGCAGACUCUUAACAGCCAAAAGGAAUAUUUAUCUGGGUCACAGAUCUAGGAAUAGAAGUUAUUGAAAAUAGGAUGUGAUGGCUCAAAAAAAAAAAAAAAAGCGGGAGAGACAAAAAAAUCCUCAUUGCAUAUUUUUAAUAUGGAUCACGGAUUCUGAAAUCUGCCACAAAUAAUCUCUCUCACCUAACAGCAUUUGGAUCAUAUUGUUCAAGGCUAAAAAAUGCAUUAGAAAAGCAAAUGGCUGGUUAAAAUUAAUAAAAAUGUGGACAUUUCCCUUUAUUCAAAUGAGGAACUCCUUUAUAUGUGUGGUGGAGUUCAGGGCGGAAACCCUUCUAGUAAAGACCUUGAUUAGCUAUUUUGAAAUCCGAAUAUGUUUUUUUCUUUGCAUUGAGCUUCUGUGGCAAUGUAACCCAAGAUGACCGCAUUUCUGUUUGCUUCACCUGCUGAUUAGUCAUAGCUGUUGGAUAAAUUAGAUUGUACCAUACACUUUUCACAAGUUCUUUUGUAUGCUGUUAUGAGAAGCUAUAUUCUUUCUUUCCCCACCACCCUUUUUCUGUUGCAUUUUGGCAUUCUGCCAGCAAUGCUUUUAGCAAGACACAAGUUUGGCAAGAAGUGGGGGGAAUGCGAAGCUAUGGCAACCCAAGCCCCUUCGCCUAUCUUUGUGCCAGAUGUGGGGAACCACUGACUCUCCAGAUGUUGCUGGACUACAACUCCCAUCAGCCCCUGAAAGCAUGGUCAAUGGCAAGGGAUGAAGGGAAGACCAAAGAUUGCCAAACCUGCUUAAUACCAAAAGGUUAUUAGAAGGUGACAAGGUUCCCCCCCACAAUUAAGAACUGGUGUAUCUAAUACUGAAAUCUUUAAUAGAGGCACUCUUCUCCUUCAACUGUUCAUUCAAGAUGUCCACUGCAACAAAUUACGUUAAUUUAAGAACUGGUGCCUGAGCUUGUUUCCCCCCUCUUUUUUUCCUUUCGUGUCAGGUCUUUCAGACAUGGAUGGUAUUGGUUUUUGUUUUGCUUUUUGUGCAUACUCUGGUUUUUAUGUGUACCUGUCAAAUGGUUUUAACAGGCACAUAAAAACAUGGCAUAUAACAUGAUCCUGAGAGAGAAUGUGAAAAAGUAGAGAGAUGCAUAUGAUAAGGAGUAAGAGAUAAUGGUUUUAUGUAGGGUUUGUUAAUCUUCUUUUUUUAAAGAAGCAGGGAAUUGGCUUUGUGCAUUUUUCUUUUCUGUGUUCAUAUUUUUAUAUAAUGUGCAAUGCUAUGUUGCUGGAAAUUGCUUUGGAUGAAGUGGCACAUAUUCUAUUACAGCAUAGUUGCACCAAUUUUAACUAUGUGAACUACUUGUGGCCCAUAACCACUGAGGCAUUGAUAUAAAAGAUUCUGUCUGUAUCUUCUGUUCCUUUGCUGACACCGUUUGACUUUGAAAUGCUGGUUAAUCUUUGGAAAUAGGGAUUACCAGCCUACUGAAGUUAAAUUAGUUGUGCUGUUGCCUGAAAUAAGUCUGCUGUAGUGCCAAAUGUUGGCAUCAUUAUUAUCAUUAUCUAUAAAGCACAUACAAUUUACUAAGUGCUAUAUAAAGAUAUGGGGGGGGAGAGAGAGAGAGAAUCCCUACCUGCAGGUUUACAAAUGCAGUAGACACAAUGCAACAAGAACAACAAGGGUGGGAAGAGAAGAGGAAAAUGAGCAAACUCAGACGCUGCUUCUUAAUUGCACAUAGCAGUUCUUAUAUUGACCAUAUAGGAGGAGAAAAGUUCAGAGAGGAAAGGAGCCAAAUUCCGGUUUAUUCCAGUUGAGCUGGUGGAGUGGGUUCUGCUUAUAGGUACUGAAAGAAUAAAAUGCCAUGUACCAGUAUCAGGAAACCAGCCCUGAGUGCUCACUGGAAGGACAGGUCCUGAAGCUGAGGCUCCAAGACUUUGGCCACCUCAUGAGAAGAGAAGACUCCCUGGAAAAGACCCUGAUGUUGGGAAAGAUGGAGGGCACAAGGAGAAGGGGACGACAGAGGACGAGAUGGUUGGACAGUGUUCUUGAAGCUACAAACAUGAGUCUGACCAAACUGCAGGAGGCAGUGGAAGACAGGAGUGCCUGGCGUGCUCUGGUCCAUGGGGUCACGAAGAGUCGGACACGACUAAACGACUAAACAACAACAACACCGGUAUCUAGCAGAAUAUAUUGCACAAAGCCUAGUUCCCCUGAUUAGCUUGCCUAGGAACAUUAAUUUUAGCAACAUUCUUUUGCCAAGCACUGAUAAAAGCCCAUACACGAUGACUGAAGUCCAGCUCAACCUCGGCACCAUUUUUAAAGUGAAAACAAAUGCAAAAUAUAAUGUGUGACAUCUCCUUCAGCAUUGACAGACUGCAAUAUAAUUUUCUAUCUACAAAUAUAAUUUAUAAAACAAAUCCCUUUUUGAAUUUCACUCACCAACUUGAGUUCAGCACUUGUUUUACCAGAGUGGGGUGUGGGAGGAAAAAUACAAAAUACACUGAAUACGAUAUCUGUGACUAGGCCUUUCAGAUGCUGGUGCUGCCUUAUUAACUAGUCGCUGUAACCAUUUUGCUUUCAGGAAAUCAUCUUUUUGCAUUAGAUUUCUCUCUAAAUUCUUCUAAAUUCCCCCUCCCUUCAGAUGUAUAUACUGCAUGCUUGCCUGUUCAAGUUUACACUCCCCGUGUGGACUGUAGUCCACAAAUGUUUAUGCCAUACUCAAAUUUGUUAGUUUUUAACAUGUUCCAAAACACUGUUGGUUUUGCUAAAACAGACUAAGACAGUUACCCUUCCCAGGAACUUGUGCUCUGUUAACAUUUACAGUGGUACCUCGGGUUAAGAACUUAAUUCGUUCUUAACCUGAGGUACCACUUUAACCAAUGGGGCCUCCCGCUGCUGCCGCACCGUAAUUUCUGUUCUCAUCCUGAAGCAAAGUUCUUAACCCGAGGUACUAUUUCUGGGUUAGUGGAGUCUGUAACCUGAAGUGUCUGUAACCCGAGGUACCACUGUAAUUAUGUUUACUAUGUUGCCUUUUAUUUACUUUCUACUUUAAUUAAAGAAGGACAAUAUUUUCUUUGCAUCCAUUUCCCACACUAUGCAUGCAGAUUAUUGUGUCCCCGUUUGCACAAUUAUGAAACUGGGCCCAGUGAGUGACAGUCUAGAUCUGCCAUUGAGGCUUUCACUUCAUUGCCCAACAUAAUUGCACACAGAUGCCUAAUUGCUACUUAGCUUGAGUGUACCUGUGUACAAUAUCACAGUAAAGAGUCAGCAAUACUCUGUAAUUUAAUUAAAUUAAGCAGCCUGUGCACAAGUAUGCUUGUGAUCAAGCACAUCACCUUCAAGUAUUGAGACUUAUAUUCUAAUCGGGAACACUUCUUGUGAAGUUUAUGCAUUCUCUUUACGUUUGUCUGAAUUCAUGCAUCUUCUGUUUCGUAUGUAAUUCAGCUUCAUCACAAGGUAAUAAACUGAUGCAUAUAUAUGUCUCCAGUUCAAGCACUUUGUGUGAACAAACUUGUACACUGAUUGAGCAGGCACUUAAAUCAACCGCUUGGCAGACACUGCUGCUGAAUAUUGGCAGCACUUAUCUCCCAACAGAAUUCUAACCAUGUUGACUGAGGCACACCUGAUGCUUCCAGGUAGGUAAGCACAAGGGAUGCCCCAAAAUCUUCUUUCCUUCCACUCAUAAGCAAAGACAUACCAAGAUUCUGAUCAUCCCCACCAAUCCACAGUCAAGAUUCAUAUGGGAUCCAAUUCAUCUGCCUCUCAAGGCCAUACCCAAGACUUGUUCAUCUUGCUCAUGCAAUACCAAGGAUUCGGGACUGCUUUUGUGCUAAGAUAUAGGAAUAUGUUGUGACUUUGCUGCAUAUGCUGACGUCUUUCACUUCAGUUUUCCAAAGACUAGGUAAUUGUGAGGUUGCCAGCAGGUGGUGUGCUGAGAGCUCAAGUGUGCCCAUUGCUCCUUUCAGGAACAAUGAAAAAAUGGGUUGGUGAGAGUGGAACGGCUCUUCCUUUUGUCUCCUUGUGAUGUGCCAAGUCUUAGAUGUGAUGGAUUGCUAUUCCUGUUUCCUUCCCCUCAUCACUGCUCUCCAAUGUCCAGUUUUAUGUUCUUACUGGUAUGAUUGAUGAGGCCAUUCACUGAGGAAGCAUAACAGAAACGUACGAAAUCUGUCCAUGCUAAAGGAUGAGCAAAAAUAGAUCUAUGCAGUGCCAUAAUGAACUAGCCAGUGUUAGAACCUGAGAUAUGAAAGCUGGGAGCUAAAUGGCCCCUUAAACCUAGGUUAUGGGUGCAACAACAGAAUGUCUAGGCACGCUUUUUUAUAACAAGAAUACAAAGCUGAAAAUUAAUGAACUGCAGCUAAAAUAUUUUGUUCAUUUUUCACAUGGUCUAGUCCUUCCCCUGCCCACUCCCCUAAUAUUCUUAAGAGGGUCUCCUCCCCAGUCUUCAGAGAGUAGCUGGAAGUGGGGAAGAAGAAGAAGAGUUUGGAUUUGAUAUCCCGCUUUAUCGCUACCCGAAGGAGUCUCAAAGCGGCUAACAUUCUUCUUUCCCGUCCUCCCCCACAACAAACACUCUGUGAGGUGAGUGGGGCUGAGAAACUUCAAAGAAGUGUGACUAGCUCAAGGUCACCCAGCAGCUGCAUGUGGAGGAGCAGAGACGCGAACCUGGUUCCCCAGAUUACGAGUCUACCACUCUUAACCACUAUACCAGAGGCAGAAAAAGGUCCUCCUUUAUUUCCACUCUGCAGUUUUAAUCUGAAAUCUUAGGUGCAGUACUGCGCCAAGAACUCAGAAACUGCUAAUGAAAUUCCCCAUCGCAGCUCCUUUCUGUGUUCCUCCUACACUGCAUCAUUUCAUUCUGUGGUAAACGUAUAUUCAAGUACUGGUCUACCAAUAGGUCUGUGGGUGAAUGUGGACAAACAUCAGCAAAUGUGCACAUUUAGCUGAAGAGAAUGUGCACAUAUUAACAGUGUCCAUGAGCAACGCUGGAGAGUGGCAGACAUUUUAUAAACUGGCUAGGUGAAAUGCAUAUGGUCUGUUUGAAUUUCAUACACUGAAAGUGCCAUAUGUAUGACUUCUCCACAUGAAGACUCAGGUCCAAAUUAGCAUUUAGCCCAAUGAAGUUAACGGAAUUCAAACUAUAAAUGCAUCAAGCUUCCUGACAUAACAGCAAUUUAUCAUAAUCUACCUGGUUAUAUUUCGGUGAAUAGAUUUCAUCAGCAACUAGGAACUUGAAAUCCUUAUAAUCAUCAGAAUAAAGUUCUGGAUGUACCAUUGGUUAAGUGUUCCAUGGAUUACUCUCAUAACUAUAAUGAUUUCCAGUUAAAUUAUGUAACAGUAAAUGGGUUAAAUGCUAUUUGAAGUCACAUGAUCUGGUGUGUAUUUUGGGUGACAGUCACCUGCAGAGGACACUAUAAAAAGCAUUAAGUCUGUAGGACCCACACCUGCCUAUAAUUUUGGGUGCUUGCAGUGGUAUUAUCCCCCUGGAAACAAUUGUUUGGAAUGGCUUUUUACCAUUAAACUUCCUUUUUUUCUAAUGUAGAAUAAAUUAAUUAUAAUUUUGUUUGUUUUUUGUUUAAUAACUUAUUUUCUGAAGUUCUCCCAGUUGUAGAAAAAGUAAUCAGGGUCUUGAAACAUUUUUGAGGUGAUGAGUUUUUUGUUGACAAGUUGAUGCCUCCCCCUUAGCAAAUAAUGGCAUUGGUAGUAAGAAUGUUUGCUAAUUCCUCAUGGGGAAUGUUUUUGGAGGUUACAUCUGAGGAACAGGACCUUAUCCAGAAGCCUGUCUGCUGUCAGCUGAGCAUUCUUCAAUACAAUAAUAAUUAUCUUUGUGCUGCGUGGUUCUUUGCAAGCCUCUCUGAAAUAUACACUUUGCAGCGACAAUGAUAUUUUGCCUACUUUAUUGUAAACAUAUUCUCAUUAAUAUAUACAAUAUAAUAUAUAGUAUAAAACUGGCAAACUUUUAAGAAUGGGUGUUACUUUGUUUCCCUCCUUUCACCAUUGCUAUUACAGUUCUGUGGCCUUCAGCGCUUUUUACGGCUGUUCUAUAGAAGUGUGCUCUUGCAUGUGAUUUUGUAUUCUAACCUUAGUACUAUUACUCUCCAUACUGUCCUCAGGAUCCAUUAAAUUAUAGGGAUACAGAAGCCCAGUAACACUGCCAGCAUCUGUAAAGGAUUUAAAACAUCUGGACAAAAUGGACUGAAGACCAUAUUCUCUUGAUUUAAAACGCAUACACACACACACACACACAAUUAGCAUACUUAGAAUUCUCAGCAGUUGUAAACUGAAGAGUAUUUUCUGUAAUGUACACUCUUAAUUGAAGCCAUUCCAUUCGCACAGGAUGUACUCAACGGAAAUUAACCCAAUCCCCCUCCCUCAGGCAGUCUGUCAUACUCCCAAAAUACUCCAGGAUGUGCUUGUCAACAAAACUGUGGGCCUACAUUAUUUACUCGGAACAGAGAGGCUGGAACAAAACUGAGGGGGCAGGGGGAAUAAGCCAAAACUAGAUAGGGAGCAAGAUUUCAGCUUGAUAUUAAGCCCUGAAAUGAAAUUACACAGAAAAAUUAAAACAGGCAAAAACUGUUCUCACAUAGAAUUGUGGCGCUGGAAGGGACCACGAGGGUCAUCUAGUUCAACACCCUGCAAUGCAGGAAUCUUUUGCCCAAUGUUGGGCUCAAACCCCCAACCCUGAGAUUAAGAGUCUCGUGUUCUACCAACUGAGCUAUCUGCAGUGUAGAAGGAAAAUCAUAAUAGACAAAAACUGUUCUCACAUGUGAAUAAGCAUUCAUAAGAAUUAUGUAUAUGGUGUCCAGUGCAAUCCUAAUCAUGCUUACACAAAAGUAAUUCUCAGUGUGACUUACUCUCUAAUAAUUUUGUUUAGGGUGGCAGCCUUAAGCUGGUAGGGACACAUCAAUGAAUGCUCCCAGGGACAUUGCUUCAAAUAAUAUCCGGGGGGGGGGGAUAUGUUAUACAUAGCCCAUACUCAGAUACUGACUGAAAAAGUCUGGGGCAGGAUGCUCCCAACGUUCUAAUACGAAGAAGCCAGAACCACAAAUCUGAUUGGCAUCAUCAUCCAGGAACUUAUCAAGGCACUAAGGGUGCAUAUGCAGCAGCUGGGAAGGGAACAGAGGGAGUUGGCCAUGGGCUAAGGUGAGUGGGUGGGUUAGUGAGUCCAUGGCAUGCUGGCCAAGCACAUAUGCCUGGGGACAUGGGCAUCAGGAGAAUGGAGGAGCAACCUCCCUGACACCAGGUAUGUUGCAACUGGUUACGCUAAAGGCAAUGUCAUCAUGAUUAUGAGGGUUAGCUGCUGUGAAAAUUUCAAGCCAGAGAUGUCUACUGCAUGUCAGUGCCUAGGCCGUUGUGAGCACAUUCCUAAUGUGCUGAUGGCUACCAUGCACCUCAUCAAGCAUGCCAUGGCAGACACCUCCUGAUCAUGUUAUCACUCCAAACAGCCCCAGAGCAUGCCAGGCCAUAACAGAACAGAAGGUCACCUGGAGCAGCAUGAUGCAUCUGAUGCCACAGCCUCACUCCUUACUUCUCAGUCGUCCUCUUUCUAGACCGGCCAUCUAGUAGUUAGAGAACAUUGGUAGCUACCCCUGCAGAGAGAGAGAGAGAAAGUACAAUGGUACCUCCGGUUACAUACGCUUCAGGUUACAUACGCUUCAGGUUACAUACUCCGCUAACCCAGAAAUAGUGCUUCAGGUUAAGAACUUUGCUUCAGGAUAAGAACAGAAAUCGUGCUCCGGUGGCGCAGCGGCAGCAGGAGGCCCCCAUUAGCUAAAGUGGUCUUCAGGUUAAGAACAGUUUCAGGUUAAGAACGGACCUCCAGAACAAAUUAAGUACUUAACCCGAGGUACCACUGUAUAUGCAAGAUAUUUGAUUUUUAUUCAAUAAACACAUUCUUUAUCUUUCCCCCCAUGCAAGUCACAAGGCUUUGUUAUGGUGGGCUUUACGCACAACCUUCCACCAAUUGUAUGUUUCACCUGUGUAUAUAGUGUGUCCAGAUAUCCCCCAUGGAGGUGGCAUAUCUAGCACUCUGUCAGCGCAGGAGAACCUAAGCCAAAGCCUCUCAGCCCAGUCUUCAGUACAGCAGAAGGAGAGUUGGGAAGCAUGGUAUUUCCAUCAGGUUGACUGUGAGACCAGCUCCAUCUGGUCUUCCCUUCUUCAACUAUCACCUAGUAGCAGCCAUUCCAUCAAUUUAUAGCACAGAGAGACAAAGACAGAGGUCUGAAGCAGGGUUGUGCUUUUCCAUUGAGUCCCUCUCUCAGUGGUCACUGGGCAACAGCCAUUUCAUCAGCUGAGGGAGAGAUGGGGAGGGAAAAUAUAGCUCCAUCAAGCUCCUCCUCUCCCUGAACUGUUUCCAUUCCUGGUCAUUAUAAGAACCUAAAAAUCCGGCAAACUAUUAAGAAUUGUUGUAUGCAUUCCUUUGUUUCCCUCCUUUCACAAUUUCUCCUUUUUCCGUUACAGCAUUUAAAAUUGUAAGCCUGCUCAAGGCAGCAACUGUCUAAUUUUCAUCGAUUGUGUUUUAACUGUUCUGGAAGGCUUUUGAGCUGAAGAGCAGGGCAAAGUAAAAAAUAAAUAAAAAGCAUUAUAUAAACAACAUUUCAGAAUGAAUAUGGCAAUGAGUAAGGUUGUUUAACUUUUAGCUCUGCAAUCUGUUAUAGUUUUAGCUUGCUUUUAUUUUGAAUAGUUUUUUAUAUAAGCAAUGUAACACAGGACCGUACAAAGUAUCUCAGAAAAGCUCCAUGGCUUAAACUGUCAACUGAAAAUGAUGACAGUAGUAUACAAAAAAAAAAGGGGGGGCAUAAUGGCUACACUGAAUCUGAGUCAUAUGUCUAACAGUUAAUUUAAAAAUGAGAGCAGACAAAAAGUAAGGUUGACAACAAUGGGUACCUGAAUGAAGAGGAAGAAUACCCAUACCAAUUUGAGCUGGGCAACUAGAACAAGGAAGAGCCAGAGGAGAAAGAGAAGAUGUUGCACCUGACUUGAGCCACAGAUUAUAUUUACAGCUAUCAAAGCAGAGGACGCACAACAGCCAUGCCUGCAACUUGUUGUUCACCAGGCUAAAUGCAGCCAUCAGCUAAACAUGCUUGAUAGGAACACAAUAAGCCUCUAUUAUAGCCGCCUGUCUGGCUUGGAAAAAAGCAGGGAGAAGUACGUCAAGAUAUUGGCUUGCUGCAUUGGCUUGUUUGAGUUGGAGGGUCACAAACUGUACAAGCCUGCCCAUGCUGAACCAUAGUCUGGAACUUCAGUCCCCUCUCACUCAUAUGACAUGCUUUUCUAUUAUUUCCCUAUACUUGUCAAAACGCUUCUAAAAUUUGCCACAGUUGCUUGCAUAUGUAGUGUAUUUAGAAAAAAUGGUUAAUCCAGUGUCUAGUGCUGUGGAACUAUUUCCAAUAGGAGCCUUUUGAUCAUGGUGUGGAAGGUGGAAUUAUCCUUCCUCUUGGAGCCAAUUCAGUACAGCAGUACACACGUUUACCUGUGGGGAACACAUAAAGUAUGACAUGCACCACAGUCAGUCAUGGUUUCUCAGUAUACUUGGUGUCCACCACAUGCUUCUUAAAAAAGAAGACAUGUUUCCCUUCACAGUUUGUGUGUUCCCACAAAGAACAUUGGUGUAAACCCCCAAAGCGUGCCUGCCACACUGAAGUGUUAGUUGGUCCUUAGGUUACUGUAACACUUCUGAAGUACAGUAUUACUGAUUUACUCUCAAUAUUUAGCUCCCCUUUCUGUUAAAAAUAAAAUUCUUAAGUUAAUAUACCUAUUAUCUUCUCCCUGGGUUUCCUUACCAGUUCUGGGAAUAUUUUAAUGAGAUCCUUUCUGUGAUCAGCCAGCCUUUGGCUAUGACGUUUAUCACAGAGGGUUGGAUAGCUAUGUGCCUGCUCAGCAGUGCCAGAUUUACGUAUAAGCUAAACAAGUUAUAGCUUAGAGCACCACUCUCUUGCCCCCCCCAUUUUCCCCCACUAUUAAUAUACUUCUUAAUUGUAUUUCAGUUCAACAAUUACUUCGAUAAAAUACAUAUUUUGUUAUGUGCAAAUGGCUUUAGAUACCUAUUAGGUCCAUAAAUUACCAUAUAGCAUAUAUUCAACACAAAAACCAGCGACAAUUUGUUGUUGACAAAGGACAGUUGGACAUAUAAAGGGCCCCAUUACCUUCAGUAGCUUAGGGCCUCAUCAAAUCUAAAUCUGGCCCUGCUGCUCAGUAUGCCAUCAAGGUGCUAACUACUGAUCGGCAACUUCAAGGCUCCUUUUUCAUGGAAAAAAAUUUGUUCAGGUGAACAAUGGGUGAAUAGUUCCAGUUCCUUGUCUUAGGCUGUGUACAUGCUGUACCUUUAAAGCACAUUAUUUCCCUCAAAGUAUUCUGGGCACUGUAGUUUGUUAAGGCUUGUCGAGAAUUGUAAAUGAGUAAACUAAGGGCUAGCCCACCCAUGAGGCAAGAUGAGGCGAAUGCCUCAGGUAGCAGAAUCAACAGGGGCAGCAGAUCCUGACAUCAUUCUUAAUUCCCUCCCUUGUUUCUGAUGUAGAUCUUAAUUCACCCCUUUCUGUGGUUCGCCUCAGGUGCCUAAAUGUCUUGUGCCAUCUCUGAGGAAACUAGAGUGCCCAAAAUAAUGUGAAGGAAAUAGUGUGCUUCAAAUGUGUUUUAAAUGUAUGGUGUGUACACAGCUUUAUGUACAUGAACUUGAUAAAGCCAGCCAGGUACCAAGGAACCGCUUGGCUCCUUUCUAGACAUUUAAUGUCCAUAUCUAGAUAUAUGCUCUAAGAUGCGCAUCAUGUCCAUAGAUGGUAUCUUGGCUUCCUGUACCCUCUGACCAUCUGUCCAGAAGUAUCACACCCACUUAUUGGUUAUUCAAAACAUUAGUCAAAAUCCCAGGCAAAGGAGAAGUGAUGUGUAUCUGCCAGUCUAUGUGAGCAACAUGACUUAUUUGGGAGGGGGGGAAUCUGUCUCACCUUUAAUAGUAUUUUCCAAUUAUAAAUUUAAUUUUACUUGCUGAGGAAAACUCAUGACCUUUGCCUGACUAACACAUGAGGAUGGCUUAACAUUCAAAAGCAAGUAGAAAAAUUGGUCCAAUGCAGGCACUCUGUUUAUAAGCUAUCUCAUUCAUGGCACACAGCAGUAUGCAAGGGUAAGAUGAAUCACAAAGGACUGACUAGCUGACCCACAAGACAACAGCUGAAGUGAUAUAAGAGAAGGAUUAUUAACAGAAUCACCCCCUCUAAUAGUGAACUCAGAUGUUGAGUGCGGACAGCUAUGUAGCCAAAAGAAGAGUCAAUGACAAACCAAAAUUAAGUUAUCAGCAAGCUCAAGGAACCCCAAGGAUUGCAGGAAUACAAAAUAACAGCAACAAUGGAUAAACUUGAGGACCAAACGAACACCCUCUGGUAUUUCAACGACCCCAGAAAGCUGAGUUUCAUUUGGGGAAGCAUAAUUUUCCACGCGGGUUGGAAAAUUAGGGAGAGGGACAAAAUACUGGAGGAGGGCCUGACUAGAACUCUGAAAAAGAGUGUGUCCCUGUUAAAAAGGGCAGAUACACAGCAGCUUUUCGUUCCAAGCACCAUUUGCAAUAUAUAAUGCUUUUUCCAGAUGUGGCAGAGGACUGAGUCAUUCAGAGCUCCCUGGUUUCAUAAGCUACAAAGGAAUCAACUUAAUUAUCACAUCAGAUUAAUCAUUGCAAUGCACUUUUCAGCAGACAAAAUACGUUACAAUGCCCUGAAUCGUUAACAAAAAGACAAGAAACCACUGUGCUUCAGUAUUCCAAAUAUUUAUUUUCGCACGACAAUGAGACCUUUUUAACCCAGCUAUAUCCUUUGCUGGGCCUCAAGGAAACACUAACAGCAAGUAGCAAGAAGAAAUCAGUUCAAGAGGUCCAGAAAGGCGGGGAAAAUGAAAAGGGAUGUUUGGGAAACACUGUGAAGCAGUAGACAUAUUAAUUAUUCUAACAACACAAUAAGAUCCUUUUCCUAGCUCCCCCCUAAGCAGUACUGCAAUAAAACUUACUAAAUUAGAAUUCAGGGCUCACAGUUAUAUUCAGAAAGAGAGCCAGAAGUGAAGUCAAUUGGCAAAAGGAGAGUGCAGAGGCAGAAUAAAUUGGAUAACUAUUCUACAAUAAACAAACAUAAUACAAGCAUUAAAACUUUUAAAGUCACGUCUAGUGAAUAGUUCCAUUCUGUAAUGAAAGGGCAAACUACAAUACUGAAUUACAAAAAGAAAUGCUAUGGUUACAUAUGCUUCAGGUUACAGACUCUGCUAACCCAGAAAUAAUGCUUCAGGUUAAGAACUUUGCUUCAGGAUGAGAACAGAAAUUGUGCUCCGGUGGUGCGGUGGCAGCAGGAGGCCCCAUUAGCUAAAGUGGUGCUUCAGGUUAAGAACAGUUUCAGGUUAAGAACAGACCUCCGGAACGAAUUAAGUACUUAACCCUAGGUACCACUGUAUAUGCAUUUAACACUGAAGAAUAAGAACCUGGUCAGUGUCCUUGACUCCAUGACUGAGUUUAGGUUUCCAGCACCCUUCAGAAUUCUUGAGGUCAAAGACUGUAAGCAGACCAACAUUCAGAUUUCUCCUGAAUUGAAAGGGGAUUAAUAAUACUACAGAUUAACAUUUGAACACCUACUCGUAAUAAACCCUGUCCCACAUUGCCACCUGUGAAAAGUAUGCUUAAUACUAUGCCUACAUACAGCCAGCAAUGGGUCCACCCACUGCCUGCCAAUACCAAGUUGUAUCUGCUCAGCAGCAGUGAUUCAGCUAAGGCUGGACCUUGAGGCUGAGUUCAUAAACAUGACUGGCUAACCCACCCACCCCUGCCACAUGACCAUUAAGUCUAGGGUCUAAAAUUACUUACAUACCCCACUUGUCAACACUAUUUUAUUAUUAGCCCAACAGAAUUCUGGCAUGAGCCUUAAGAGCUGUGCUGGAUCAGGUCAAAGGCUCAUCCAGUCCAGUACUCUGUUCCCAGUGGCCAACCAGUUGCUUCUAGGAAGCCCACAAGUCAAAUGUGAGCACAACAGUACUCUUCCACUCAUCCUCCCUGCCGCGCCCAGAAGUUGGUAUUCAAGGGCAUAUGACCCUCUGAUGCUGGAGGUAGUAUAAGUCCACUGGUAGCGAUUGAUCACCACAUUCUGUGUGAAUCUGUCUAAUCCCAUUUUAAAACUGCUUUUAACGGUAGCCACCACCACAUCUUGCAGUAGCAAAUUCCAAGUUUUAACAAUGUGCUGUAUGAAGAUGUUUGCCUUGAACCUCCCACCAUUUAGCUUCAUUGAGUGACCUCAGGUAGUAGUAUUAUGUGGGAGGCCUAUCCAUUUUCUACACACCAUACAUAUAAUUCUAUAUCAGGCUUCCUCAACCUCGGCCCUCCAGAUGUUUUGAGACUACAAUUCCCAUCAUCCUGACCACUGGUCCUGCUGGCUAGGGAUCAUGGGAUUUGUAGGCCAAAAACAUCUGGAGGGCUGAGGCUGAGGAAGCCUGUUCUAUAUCACAUCCCUUCCCCCUUGUUUGCCUUUUCUUCUUCCAAAGCUAAAAAGCUGCAGAUGCUACAUGUCAGUCAACGUUUCCUCAUAGACCCCUAGUAAUUUCCCCACACCUUCCUGCUUCUCCAGCUAUCAACUGGACAAAAAGCUACAACCCUUCAGGCCCAGCUUGUAAGUGAAAUGACUGGUCAUAACCAGUUGGGCCAGUCUGCAUGCGCAUCUCUGGAUAGAUAAAAAUCAAGCCCUUCUAAGAAGAAGAAAAACAUCUGAGGAUGUCAAAUAUUUUCUUUAAACUAAAUGUUCUAGUCACUUCACUUCAAAAAUAAUAUUGUAUAGCUAGAAAGGGUUGGGAAAAGGCUAAUCAAGGGGAUGGAGCCACUUUCCUAUAAGGAAAAGUUACAACAUUUGGGGCUUUUUGUUUAGAAAAAAAGGCAGGAAAGAAGGAAACACAAUGGAGGCACAUACAAUUACAAUUUUUCGUACAAUCAGUGUAUAUAUUUUAUGAAAUUAAUAAUAAUAAUAAUAAUAAUAAUAAUAUUCAUGGUGUGCAAAAAGUAGAUAAAUAAAAAGUUUUCUUUCUCUCUUUUAACUCUAGAGCUCAAUAGACAUCCGAUGAAACUGAAUGGCGAAAGAUUCAAAGCAGCUAAGAGAUUCCCAUUUGCUUGGACAUGAGUAUGUUCUCUUCACGUUUUAUGGUGUGUAGCAUUACAGACACCAAUGUGCACACAUGAAUAUGCCUAUAUUGCUACAUAAAUAAAUCACUUGUCUUCUAAGUUGUUUUAUUCUGCUAUAGUAUAUGGACUAACACAAUACAUGCUAUUCUGAUUCUGAAUCAUGUGUCACUGGGACAAAGGCUGUGAAAAUUUUAUUUGCUAUAUUUCCACACUAGAAAAGCCCAGAAUAUGAAUUUUUAUUCUGCCAACACUUGGAACUCCUAACUCACCAUGUUUUAGUUUAUGAACUUGUUGAAGUUGCUUAAUGGCAGAGUCAUGUACAAGCACUUUUCACAUGUUCCAAACCAGACUCAGCACUGACCCCAGGAUCCCUUGCUAUUGUGUUGUACAAAGGGUUGGGGCUAGUUUUUCUUCUUCUUUUUCUUCUUCUUCUCUUCCUCUCCCUCUCUUUCUUUUAAACAAGUGUUAAUUUAUAAGCAAGACUAAACAUUUAAGCCAAUCCAGCUUUCGGAAUUUCCCAAUGGAAAAUUGCAGUCUUUGAGGUCAGUGUAAUCUUAGCACUAGGACUAUCAGUCACUUGAAACUUUUCCAUUAUAGAAGAACAGUAACUUCUACAAGCUUGCCAGCUGAACCAAUUUUAUCUGGAGUGUUUUGAUGGAAGGACCCAGCUGGUGAAACCAUGAGAAUCUUGGCUUUCCCCCAAGCAGAUGCAGACUUUAAGACUUGUGCACACAUAAAAACAAGACACAUUGUAAAAUCCCAGAAUGAGCUGAACAAUUUUUAAUAUUAAGUACCAAUUUAAUUGUUCAGUUGGAGGGUUUUGGGCUAAGCAGCAACUCAAAUUAGAACAUUAGAUUUUUUUAUACUUUUAUGUGCAAUUUUAAAAAUACAUAAGACAGCAUUAGCCCUGCAUUUAUUGAACAGCAGCCCUCCAUGUUCCAUAGAAAUAAGCUGCAUUUAUAAAUGAAAAAUGUUUCAAAAGCAGCUUGUGAUUUGGCAUGGGGCUCUGCUGUUCUAAGGGGCGAAAGGUUUUCCGAAAUCUCACUAGCAUACCCCAGCUCUUUCAAUGAACCUAAAGUAGCUCUUUUGAGUCUACCCAUUCUGUUAUGAUUAGGGCUCUCAUCCUGUGAGCUCAUAACAUUUAUAGAAAUGAGGCCAAGGUAGGGUUGCUGUACUUUAUGAAUAGCCUCCUUAUGUGAACACUUGCUUUACUCCUACUCCACCUAUUCUGCAAAUAUUUUGAGGGGGUAAAAGAAACAAGAGUCACCAACGGGAGAACAAAGACAUAACAUGCAUGGAUACGGGGCAAUAGCAGAAAAUAAUGGCUGCAAUUUAUUUUUUCAACCUAUGAUGUGAUAGCAGAAAGGGGGAAAGAAACAUUAAGAAGUAGAUAUAGCCCCUUCUGCUGAAUCAUUCCUAAGGACAGGAUUUUGGAAACAGUUGGAAAUCUGCCAGGAUGCUUCCAGAUAGAGAGUUCAUAGUGCUACCAUUGUUCUUCUGCUGUAAGCUAAAAGCAGAAUGGCAAGCAGCCAUUAUCCAGGCUUCUGGACUCAUCUUGCAGUGUUCGAUGUGUGCAUCCCACUAUAUUACAUAGCUAUGGUGGGCGUGGCAUAGCUGUGUGAGCAGCGUUGUCCUCUUCCCCACCCCUCAACCAUACUUCUGACAUUUUGAAGCAUGUGCUUCUCAGAACCAUUUUAGCAACUUUUUUUUGUGCAUGCACCUGGAUUUGUGUCUAUAGAGUGCCUACACUACAGGUCAAGAUGAUUGCAGCUCAUCUUACUUCCAAGUAAGCACAGUUACACAACCGGGCUCUAAUUCCUGUAGAUUUCACCUGAGGGUGCCAGAUUUCUAAUGUAGCCAAUUCCACAACUGGAUCUAGAACAACACAAUUUCCUCUGCUUGUUAGCUGUACUAUCUACUACAACACAAUUCUGGGUUGUAUUCAACCAAAUCUUACUCAGAGUAGACCUACUGAAAUGAAUAAACAUAAGUUACUCAUGUCAGUUAAGUUUGAUGGGUUUAUCCGACUAGGACUAGUGUUGAGUACCACUUUUUUUUUUUUACAUAGUGUCUAUAGCACAGGGCUGACAGAUGCCUGCCUUCCAGGAUUAUAGGUGGAACCUACACAGAUUUUCUAAGAAAGCAAGUACCGGUACAUGGCUAGAGGAUUGUAACUUUACAGGAUCACAGACAAAAUUUACAUGUCUGUACUUGGAAGCAAGCACUGCUGUUUACAGUGUGAUCAACUAAUUAAAUAGCUUAAAUUGAAAUGUGUGGGUUGAGGAAAUCUCAUUCCAGGAAACAAUUAAUUGGUUGAUCAAGAGAAAGGAUUUGUGGUGCAUGACAUGAAAUGGCUCCAAAACCAGAAAAGCAUAGCAAGCAGUAGAGAAAGAAGGAACAUACCUAACGUGUAAUUACCUUAUCCAAGGACAACCCCUUCCAUUGCCCUACCAUUAUCUGUAAAGAGCUGGCAAUAUUUACCUCCUUAACAGAUUUUGAAUGGUAAGAAAAAAUAUAGAGGAAGCAUAGACUCAUAGAACUGUAGAGUUGGAAGGGACCAUGAGGAUCAUCUCUAAUCCAACCUCCUGCAAUGCAGGAAUUAUUUUGCCCAAUGUGGGGCUUGAACCUCAAACCCUGAAAUCAAGAGUCUCAGUUAUAAUGAAAACAUAGGACGAUAACAGUUACAAUGGAAAUGAAAUGGAAACAAUGGAAACAGUUACAAUGGAAACAGUUACAAUGGAAAUCUAAUAAAAUUGCAUUAAGGAGGCAUAGCAAUUGUACAUUAGAAGCCUCAUCUGGAAGCAUUCCAGGCUUGCAAGUAUGAAGCACGUCCUCCCAAAGUAUUUUUGAUGGUUCCCAUAAUCUGUUUUCAGUGCUUAGUCAAAAACAUAUGAAAAACUACAUUAAGUUCUUACAGCAUCCGAGAAGUGCCUUUACUCUUUAAGAAUGUGGAAAAACUUUAUAUAGCAGCUCACAAACCUAGGAUGAGAUUUCUCAGUCUUUAGUAUGAUAACUCAAAAGUUAAGUUCUAUGUUUACUCAGAAAUAAAUAUGCAUAGGCAAACUUAAGAAGUCUAAGAUUGCAGUUAUACAUAUUUAUUCCUAAAACCCAAAGGAUUCAAUAGAAUUUACUGCUGAAUAAUCAUACUUAGGACUGUACUGGUAGUCAAUUAUUUAGUGUUUAAAUACCUAAUUAAUUGAUCAGUAGUUAAUCACCUAAGCUUUGUCACAGAUCAAAGUGGCUUCCUCCAGUGGGGAUUUUCUGAGUGUUCUGAAGAUGGGUCAGCCUGUGUUCAAAGUUCUUCAUGUACAGUACUUUAUUUCAGUAAUCCUUCCAGCAGUUCUACAAGGUCACUAUUAAUAUCCUCAUAUUGCAGACUGGGGGAAGGGGUGAGGUUGAGAAAAUAAUGAUUUGAUUGUUUACAAUACUGCACCAGCUGUUUCCCAUUCCAAUUAAAUGUAACUUUUGCUUUCUUAAUAAUGUGGUAUCCUUUGACUCUGCAACUGCAAGUUGUUGUUUAAGAACAACUGUCUAC
rnacentral:lncRNA from 1 species